rnacentral:misc_RNA from 1 species
GAUGAAGAACGCAGCGAAAUGCGAUAAGUAAUGUGAAUUGCAGAAUUCAGUGAAUCAUCGAAUCUUUGAACGCAUCUUGCGCUCCUUGGUAUUCUGAGGAGCAUGCCUGUUUGAGUGUCAUUAAAUUCUCAACUACACUGACUUUGAAUUGGUGUGGCUUGGAUUUGGGGGGAAAAUUGUUGUGGGCUUUUUGUAUAGUCUGCUCCCCUGAAAUUGAUUAGCGGUACCUUUGUGGAACUGUCUACAGGUGUGAUAAUUAUCUACAUCUUAGACAUCUGCUGGAAUGCUGCUUUCAAAACCUUACUUGUAUUGACAAUCUUGACCUCAAAUCAGGUAGGACUACCCGCUGAACUUAAGCAUAUCAAUAAGCGGAGGA